CUGGCGGCGUGCCUAACACAUGCAAGUCGAACGAGAAAGUGGAGCAAUCCAUGAGUAAAGUGGCGACCGGGUGAGUAACACGUGACUAACCUACCUCCGAGUGGGGAAUAACUCCGGGAAACCGGGGCUAAUACCGCAUAACAUCGCGAGAUCAAAGCAGCAAUGCGCUUGGAGAGGGGGUCGCGGCUGAUUAGCUAGUUGGCGGGGUAACGGCCCACCAAGGCGAAGAUCGGUAUCCGGCCUGAGAGGGCGCACGGACACACUGGAACUGAAACACGGUCCAGACUCCUACGGGAGGCAGCAGUGGGGAAUUUUGCGCAAUGGGGGAAACCCUGACGCAGCAACGCCGCGUGGAGGAUGAAGCCCUUUGGGGCGUAAACUCCUUUCGACCAAGACGAUAAUGACGGUACUGGUGGAAGAAGCACCGGCUAACUCUGUGCCAGCAGCCGCGGUAAUACAGAGGGUGCAAGCGUUGUUCGGAAUUAUUGGGCGUAAAGGGCGCGUANGCGGUGCCACAAGUCACUGUGAAAUCUCCGGGCUUAACUCGGAGUCUGCAGGCGAAACUGUGGUGCUGGAGUGUGG
rnacentral:rRNA from 1 species